rnacentral:rRNA from 1 species
GCUUAGCCCUAAACCUAAAUAGCUCACAACAAUGCUAUUCGCCAGAGUACUACUAGCAACAGCUUAAAACUCAAAGGACUUGGCGGUGCUUUAUAUCCAUCUAGAGGAGCCUGUUCUGUAAUCGAUAAACCCCGAUAAACCUCACCAACUCUUGCUAAUACAGCCUAUAUACCGCCAUCUUCAGCAAACCCUCAAAAGGAACCAUAGUAAGCAAAAUUAUGGAACAUAAAAACGUUAGGUCAAGGUGUAGCCCAUGAGUUGGGAAGAAAUGGGCUACAUUUUCUAAGAUAGAACAUAAACGAAAAUUUUCGUGAAACCGAAAAUGGAAGGAGGAUUUAGUAGUAAACUAAGAAUAGAGAGCUUAGUUGAAUAAGGCCAUGAAGCAC